rnacentral:tRNA from 1 species
GCGUCGAGGUCUGGGGUACCGAGCUGGACUCCAAAUCCGGCUGACUGUCAGGUUCGAUUCCUGAUCGACGUG